AUUGCACAUUUAGAAUUGCCAUUUGCAUUUGAAAUUGUCUUCUUUGCAAAUCUUUACAUCCUACAUGUUACGUAGAUUAUACUUAAUACUUGCACUUGGCCUCAUGUAGCUGCCCCCUCAGAGCUACAUUUUGUAUCAAUUACAUUGGAGGGCACUAGAAUAAACUGCAUGGAACGGCGGGACUUGUUUGGGAUUCAUGAGAGUACACGUUAGUACCAUUAAUCAACGUACUUAUUCCAACAUUAUAUUUCAGCUAAAAUCUAUUGGUGGAGGUAGUUGUAUUUGUAGACUAAACAGAAUUGAUACUGGAGAUGAAUGGGAUCGGUGCUACCACAGUGCUUUGCAGCAGUAGGUGUUUCUAGCCCUUUAGGAUUUCAUUUUGUUUCAUGUUUCCCAGCUAAAAAAGACACAGCAUCCUUUGCAGUUAAUAAAUGUAAGACCUCUCUAGAAAGUGAAUGAAAUAGAACAGACAGUCAUGAGCAGCAACUUAUUUACAGAGUCAUGGAACAUUGACUGAAAAUAGGUGGUUAACCCUUUUAGCCACUUUGCAUCAGACCUGUUUUUGCUUGCUAUUUUUGGGUUUUUGGCUGGUUGUUUUGUAAAAGCACUUUGUGACAACUGCUGAUGUAAAAAAGCUUUAUAGAAUAAAUGUGAUUGAUUGUAUUUAAAUCUAUAUAUUACAGAAUGUAACAAUGCACUUAGUAUUUCAUUAAAUAAAUUGUCACAUCCUGGCAUGGUGUUGGAUCUCAUGCUAAUGUUUGUUCAUUUCAGGAAUUCCUUGUCAGGUGUUGGUUUUGAUCUUUAGCCACAUGCUAAUUCCCAACCCCCCCACUACACUCUACACUGGAGGGAUGCCCAGUUCUUGGUAAAGUCUCUGUUGUGCCAUAUUUUCUCCACUUGAUGAUGACUGUCUUCUCUGUGUUCUAUGGUAUAUCUAAUGCUUUAGAAAUUAUUUUGUACCCUUCUCCUGACUGAUAUCUUUCAACAAUGAGAUCCCUCUGAUGCUUUGGAAGCUCUCUGCGGACCAUGGCUUUUGCUCGGAGAUGCAACUAAGAAAAUCCUACUAGAACAGCUGAACUUUAUUUGUGAUUAAUCAGAGUCACUUUAAAUGAUAGCAGGUGUGUAAUGACUUUUAUUUAACAUGAGUUUGGUAGAUUCUGAACACUGCCACAUCCCCAGUUAUAAGAGGGUGUGCACACUUAUGCAACCAGGUUAUUGUAAGGUUUUUAUUUUUAAUUUUCCCCCUCGAAGAUUUCAGUUUGUUUUUCAAUUGAAUUGUUCACAUUAUAGGUCACAUUAAAAGUGGAAAAAGUUCUGA
ensembl:lncRNA